rnacentral:rRNA from 1 species
AAUAUGUUUUUUAUGUAAUGCGUUAUUUCAUCAUUUUACAAUGAUGUUUAGUAUAUAAAGAAACUAUUAUGGAUUGAUAGCUGUAUAUCAGUGGAAUAAUUUUGAAAAAGACGUCCGUAUCUUGAUUCUAGGAGAAAUCUAAUCUACAAACGAAGUAAAUUGAAAUAUCUUAUUAACUUCAGGAAAGUAAAUCAAAUGAGAUUAUUUUAUCAGUAAUAAACUGAAAAAUAACAGCCUAAAAAGUAAAAUGAAUACAAUUUGUUUGACAAUAGGGAAACCUUUCUCUAAGGCUAAAUACGAUAUAUAAGCGAUAGAAUAAAAAGUAGCAUAAGGGAAGUCAUUGAAAUAGUAGUUUUAUAAGCAGCUCAAGUAUGUGUUAAUAAACAUAUUAGAGCGUACCUUUUGCAUAAUGGGUCAGCAAGUUAGUAUUAGAUGCAAGAAGCCAAAGGCUAGCCCCAGACAAACCAAUUAUUAAAUAAUGAUUAAGUAUCUAAUAUUAGACCCGAAGCCUGGUGAUCUUACCAUAAUCAGGAUUAUAAAAGUCCGAACAGGUUAUCGUUGUAAAGAUAUCUGAUGAAUUGUGGUAAGUUAGUGAAAGACAAAACUGACUAGGAUAGCUGGUUUUCCGCGAAACCUAUUUAAGUAGGUAGUUUAAAUUAUAUCAUUGCAGGUACAGAAUUGUGAUCUCAGACAAGUUAUGGCGCACAUGUUUUGGUUUAUACUCAAAUAUGUGUUAUCAGUUUGUAUACAUUGGGGGAUCGUGAAGAUUUUAUCAGUGAGGAUUUGCUCUCGGAAGGGCAAUGAUAGAUAUUAAACUCUCAGACAUAGUACGAUAAGGUUGUAUGUCUAAAGGGAAACAGCCCAGAACAAAAGUUAAAGGUUCCAAAAUAAUUGUUAAGUGAAAUUAAGGAAGUUUUUUUCAAACACAAUCAGUAAAUAGGCUUAGAAGCGGCCAUUUUUUAAAGAUCUCGUAACAGAGCACUGAUUAAUUAUUAUUUCUAAUAAUAUUGAUAACUUGAAUUAAGUUAUUAACAAUUAUUCUUAAUAGUGUUAAACGCGCCGAUGAUUUAACGGAUCUAAAUAAUAUACCGAAACUUUGUGCAUAGUUCAUCAUAAUAAGCAUAACCUAUUCUGUAAAACAUAAUCUGGAUGGAUAUAAUUGGUUUAAUUAGGCAAUUCUUUUGGCUAGCCAUUAGCUGCAAAUCGCCUAAAAUGAUUUGUGUAAAAGAAUAGGUGCUAAAAUGUACACGUUUUAUUUUUUAAUAUAACAAACUAUGAGGUAGCGGAACGUUGGGUAACAAUAAGAGUUUCUAUCGUAGAUAGAACUAACAGACCGGUUCUUAAACUGGCAAAUAUAACACCCCAAGUGAUAAUGCUGACAUGAGUAACGAAAAAGGGGAAUUAUCACCCUCGCCUUAAGCUUAUGGUAUUAAUAUUAAGUAACGGCCCCUAAGUUUAUUGAUCUGUCCUAAGGGAUUAAACGAUGGGAAAAUCUUUAUGUAUAUUUUUAAACUUUUUACUUUUAAAAGUUCUGGAAAAUAAUAUAUAUUUUAUAACCGUACCUAGAUACUAACUCAAGUAAGCAAGUAGAGUAUACAAAGGCGUCAGAGAUAACAAUCAUUAAGGAACUCGGCAAAAUGACUCCGUAACUUCGGGAUAAGGUGUGCCAUUAUUCACUAACACAUGAGGUGUGUUAGGUAUAAAUAAGAGGAGACAUAAAAUGGUGUUGUACGACUGUUUAAUUAAAACAAAGCACUUUGCAUAAGACUUUAAGUCAAAGUAUUGAGUGUGAUUUCUGCCCGAUGUUGGCUGGUUAACGGAUUUUCUUAGCCGAAAUUACUUAGGUUAGGUUUUGAAGGAACCCCCAAUCAAUGGCGGCCUUACCGAUGAGGGUCCUAAGGUAGCGGAAUACCCUGGCCGUUAAAUGCGGUCUUGCAUGAAUGAUUUAACGAUACAACAGCUGUCUCAAUGAUUGUCUCAGUGAAAUUGGAAUAACUGUGCAGAUACAGUUUUCUUCUAGUUAGACGAGAAGACCCUAUGCAGCUUUACUGUUGCUAGUAAUUGGGUAUAAUCGGACAAGUUGUAGUAUAUAAGGUAAUUGGUUAAAUAUAAGUGAAAUACCUUUGCUUAGUCUAUUAUAUCUAAUGAGCUAUAUUAUAAAAUAUAAUAUAACUCUACAUAGCUCAUCCGAAAAGAUAUAGGAAUAUAUAUUCAGGAGACAUUUGCUAGUGGAUAGUUUAUGCGGGGCACAGAUCCCAUAAAAAGUACCUGGGUGUAUCCAAAGUUAAUAUUGUAAAUUCAAUUUUUGUUCAUUAUACUAUUGAUUUAAUACUUAAUAUACGUCAACAAUUUAUUUGUUUACUGACUAUUAGUAUUACAUAUUUUACUUUGUAAUAAAUUAAAUUUAAUUUAUUCACUUAUAAUUCUAUUAAGUUAGAUCAAUUUUUUUUUUUUUAGUAAGGUUUUAACUAUAUGGAAAAUAGUGGUUAGUAAAGUAUUAUUAAUACUACUUUAAGUUGUCUUAUUUUUUAUUUGAGUAUAUAUUUUUAAAGGUGUUAGUUGUUUAAUUUUAUAAUGCAUAGUUUGAUAUUUAUAAUGCAUUUUUUGAUAUUUAUUAUGAUAAGAUUUAUCAUCCAUUAUGGAUGAAAGUGCUAUGAACAGAUUUUAGGAUUUUCAUAUUGCCAUAGGCAAGUAGUUUAUAAAUUAACACUUUAGAAAUAAAUAUUAAAAGAGGACUAAAUAAGACGAUUAUUAUCAUGACUGGAAAAGUUUAAUGGCUAAACCUUGCUUUACUGUUUGACUUACAUGUCUAUCAGUCGCGUAAGCGGGGCAUACGAUCGCAAGAUGCAGAAAGGAAAGGUCUUGUAUUUAUGAAAAAGCUACGCUAG